GAUGAACGCUGGCGGUAUGCCUAACACAUGCAAGUCGUACGAGAGUUUUUAACUCUAGUGGCGGACGGGUGAGUAACACGUGAGAAUUUGCCUUUAGGAGGGGGAUAACAAUUGGAAACGAAUGCUAAUACCCCAUAUGCUUUUGAGUGAAAUGGAUUUUGUCCGCCUAGAGAGAAGCUCGCGGCUGAUUAGCUUGUUGGUAAGGUAAGAGCUUACCAAGGCGACGAUCAGUAUCUGGUUUGAGAGGACGAUCAGACACACUGGAACUGAGACACGGUCCAGACUCCUACGGGAGGCAGCAGUGGGGAAUUUUCCGCAAUGGGCGAAAGCCUGACGGAGCAAUACCGCGUGAGGGAAGAAUGCCUAUGGGUUGUAAACCUCUUUUUUCAGGGAGGAAUAAAAAUGACGUGUACCUGAAGAAUAAGCAUCGGCUAACUCCGUGCCAGCAGCCGCGGU
rnacentral:rRNA from 1 species